GGGCUUGACAUCCCACGAACCUGCCCGAAAAGGUGGGGUGCCCGCAAGGGAGCGUGGAGACAGGUGGUGCAUGGCUGUCGUCAGCUCGUGUCGUGAGAUGUUGGGUUAAGUCCCGCAACGAGCGCAACCCUCAUCCCUAGUUGCCACCGGGUUAAGCCGAGCACUCAAGGGGAACUGCCAGCGUCAAGCUGGAGGAAGGCGGGGAUGACGUCAAGUCAUCAUGCCCCUUACGCCCUGGGCUACACACGUGCUACAAUGGCCAGUACAAAGGGACGCGAGACUGCGAAGUGGAGCUAAUCCCAAAAAGCUGGUCUAAGUUCAGAUUGCAGUCUGCAACUCGACUGCAUGAAGGAGGAAUCGCUAGUAAUCGCGCAUCAGCCCGGCGCGGUGAAUACGUUCCCGGGCCUUGUACACACCGCCCGUCACUCCACGAAAGCUGUCUGUACUCGAAGUCGCUGAG
rnacentral:rRNA from 1 species